rnacentral:rRNA from 1 species
AUUGAACGCUGGCGGCAUGCCUUACACAUGCAAGUCGAACGGCAGCGCGGGGCAACCUGGCGGCGAGUGGCGAACGGGUGAGUAAUAUAUCGGAACGUGCCCUGGAGUGGGGAUAACGUAGCGAAAGUUACGCUAAUACCGCAUACGAUCUGAGGAUGAAAGCAGGGGACCUUCGGGCCUUGUGCUCCUGGAGCGGCCGAUAUCUGAUUAGCUAGUUGGUGGGGUAAAAGCCUACCAAGGCGACGAUCAGUAGCUGGUCUGAGAGGACGACCAGCCACACCUGGAACUGAGACACGGUCCAGACUCCUACGGGAGGCAGCAGUGGGGAAUUUUGGACAAUGGGGGGCAACCCUGAUCCAGCAAUGCCGCGUGUGUGAGAAGG